UACAGAGGUCCCAAGCGUUGUUCGGAUUCACUGGGCGUAAAGGGUGCGUAGGCGGUCGGGUAAGUCUGAUGUGAAAUCUCACAGCUUAACUGUGAAACUGCAUUGGAUACUAUCCGGCUCGAGGAAUGGAGGGGAGACUGGAAUACUUGGUGUAGCAGUGAAAUGCGCAGAUAUCAAGUGGAACACCAGUGGCGAAGGCGAGUCUCUGGACAUUUCCUGACGCUGAGGCACGAAAGCCAGGGGAGCAAACGGG
rnacentral:rRNA from 1 species